GUUUACCUAGAAUCCCAUCCAACAUGCAACGUGCAUAAUUGCAGAGGACCGAAUCUUGAAGCUCGACGCGAGAUUACCGAAACGAAAGGGGAUGUUGGUGUGUGAGAUGUCAGCAGUAGUGUGGACUCCACCCAUACACAUUUCAAAAGGACCACUGAUGGUCCCCAUCAAACCUUACAAAGCUUGAGAGGAUCUGCAGAGAAGAGUGGCAGAAAAUCCCCAAAUCCAGAUAUGCAAAGCUUGUCGUAGCAUACCCAAGAAGACUCAAGGCUGUAUUCACUGCCAAAGGAGGUUCAACUAUGUAAUGAGUAAAUGGUCUGAAUACCUAUGUCAAUGUGAUAUUUCAGUUUAUCCUUUUUAAUAAAUUUGCAAAAAUUUGUAAA